rnacentral:rRNA from 4 species
UUUGGUGGCGAUAGCGAAGAGGUCACACCCGUUCCCAUACCGAACACGGAAGUUAAGCUCUUCAGCGCCGAUGGUAGUCGGGGGUUUCCCCCUGUGAGAGUAGGACGCUGCCAAGC